CAUUAGAACAGUGUGAGAAGGGAUUGUGUUUGGUUUUUGUACGAUUCCAUUUGAAAUUCGUAAAUUGAUUUCACAAAACUAGUGAACAAAUGCAAAAAAGGAAAAAGAAACAAAAAGUUGUAUAAACAAAAAACUGACGCCUAUUAAUUGGGCAAAGAUGUUCUGGUGGAGAGCUCCUCGUGAAGUUGAGCAAUGUACAUAUGUACAUACAUUUAGGGCAAUCGAACCCUGUAGAAAAAUUGAUAACCGGUCCAAACAAAUACAGUUCUGAGUAAAUCGAUUCGCAUGUGGUUUAAAACCGGUGUCAAGGAUGUCAAAAAUGAAGGAAAAUUCCAGAGGUCGAUACAUUAAUAAAAAAUUUUAAGUAUAAAUUAUUCAAUUUCAAAAGCACAAAAAUAUUUUACCACAAUGUAUGUAAAUAAUCCAUCUAAUAUUAAUCUUAUAAGUUGUAGUAUGCAAUUUUCUUACAGACUCCGAUCCAGCUAAAAGCUGUUCUAAUUGUUCAGCUCUGGCAGUUGAAAUUAAAAAAAAAUUCGUAUAAAGUGGCAAAAAUACCUUCCAUUAAAUACAAUUUAUACAAUAUAAUCAUAACAUAUCUACAGUUUUUUUUCAGAAACGCAAUUUAAACAGAAUAAAGCCAUAAUGGAAGCUCUGGCUGAGCAAAAAGUAUUGAAGCAGAAAUUAAUUCGUCAAGAGUCAGUGGGUGCCCAAUAGCCGAUUAUUUUCCGCUGCAGAAAGAGCAAACUUUGAGGGCUUUGGAGGAUCAAAUUUGUACAGAAAAUCGCAAAAUAUUUGAAAGUUUUUACUAAUAAGAGGUUAGUUCACGAAAAUAUUACACGCAACUUAAAAAACAUCCUGAGUGAUGAUAUAGUUAAAGUCCAAUGAAAAGUUUUAUACUGCACUACUAGGUUCAAUUUGACAAUUACCCAAUGUAAUUGAUGCGGAGGAUCACCUAUGGAAGGAUAUAAGCUAGCAAAAAUAAGCGAAAUUUCAAAAUGUUGAUGCUUUCGAAAACUUCAUAAUUUACAUUUUAUUUUAGUACCAAAUACUUGCAUUUAACUUUAUUCAAUUUAAGCCAUGUAAGCAUUUUCCAUA